rfam:Methanosarcina sp. MTP4, complete genome.
GCCCAGGUAGUCUAGCGGUAGGGCGACGGUCUCGAAAACCGUUUCUUCUUUGGGAGAGCGCAGGUUCAAAUCCUGCCCUGGGCG